rnacentral:rRNA from 1 species
AGCUUGAAGUUUAUAUUUUAAGUAAUUUCUGCCCAGCGUAAUUUAUUAGCGGCCGCAGUACCUUGACUGUGCUAAGGUAGCAUAAUCAAUUGGCUUUUAAUUGUAGUCUGGAAUGAAUGGAUUAAUAGGAAGGAACUGUCUCUUUUUAAAUUAUUUGAAAUUUUUUAUUAAGUGAAAAUACUUAUAUUUAGAUAAAAGACGAGAAGACCCUUAGAAUUUUUAUGAAUGGUGACUAAAACCUUAAUUUUUGUUGGGGCGACAAUAAAUCACUUUAAACAUUUACAAGUUUACACGACAAUUAGAUUUAUAAGAGUAUAAUUACCUUAGGGAUAACAGCAUAAUUUUUUUAUAAAGUUUGUGACCUCGAUGUUGGACUAGGAACUAAAUAACUAACCGUUAACAUAGAUUGUUCUGUUCGAACAUUUAUUCCU